rnacentral:rRNA from 1 species
UACGUAGGGUGCGAGCGUUAAUCGGAAUUACUGGGCGUAAAGCGUGCGCAGGCGGUGAUGUAAGACAGAUGCGAAAUCCCCGGGCUCAACCUGGGAACUGCAUUUGUGACUGCAUCGCUGGAGUGCGGCAGAGGGGGAUGGAAUUCCGCGUGUAGCAGUGAAAUGCGAAGAUAUGCGGAGGAACACCGAUGGCGAAGGCAAUCCCCUGGGCCUGCACUGACGCUCAUGCACGAAAGCGUGGGGAGCAAACAGG